UACGGGGGGGGUAAGCGUUGUUCGGAAUUACUGGGCGUAAAGGGCGCGUAGGUGGCCUUGUUAGUCAGACGUGAAAUCCCCAAGCUUAACUUGGGAACUGCGUCUGAUACUGCAAGGCUUGAGUUCGGGAGAGGGAUGUGGAAUUCCAGGUGUAGCGGUGAAAUGCGUAGAUAUCUGGAGGAACACCGGUGGCGAAGGCGGCAUCCUGGACCGAAACUGACACUGAGGCGCGAAAGCUAGGGGAGCAAACGGG
rnacentral:rRNA from 1 species